rnacentral:sRNA from 1 species
CAGGCUAAUACAUCUGCAAAGCUUAUUAGUGGGUGUCUUUGGGCAAGAGCAGUAGAGUGUGCUGUGGUGUUUCUAAGUGAAGCUUCACAUUGCUUAGCAAUCUGUGUGGUUUAGACAUUUGGAAAACAGCUGUUGGUUUCCAAUCCCCUGUGCUGCCCUCCAUCCUUGCCCCGCUGCUGCAUCAUCAGAGAUUUCAUUCAAUGGCAACCUCCUCCUUCAUUCCGGGGCUCUCCUCCAACCUCACCAACCCCGGUGCUCCUGUCUUCAUGGGUUAAAAAAGGACCCCAUUGGCACAGCCCCACAAGCCCUCCCUCCUUGGCAGUUGGAGGGAUAAGCGCUGAGUUGGGCUGGGGAUUCUUGAGCCAGCAUGCACCAAUGUGCCCCAAUCUGAUUGAAACAUUGGCUGUCAAGGCCUUGAAUCCUUGCCUGUUUUCAACGGUCUUUCUCUGGUAUGCAGGGAUUAGGAACCAGCUAAGUUGGUUCAUCUGGAGAAGCAGCAGGCUGGCAGUUAUGCUGACGUUUCAAAUACAACUUUAUUUCUGAUUUUGGUUACAACAAAACGCGCUCGAUUACCGGGCAAAGCAAAGUAACCAAAAUUAACUCUAAGAAUAAUGAUAAGUAUUUUUUUUGGUAUACAGAUAAAUCAUGAUUUCUUUUUUUUUUUCUUAUGGCAGGGUGUUUACAAACUGUUUUAGUCUGUUUAAAGUGCAUGUUCAAAGGCUGGAGUGUAAAGAGGUGAUGCCUUCACCUUCUCUAAGCCGGCCUCUUUGACUAACACAUUUGGACUUUGUCACUGGGUCCUAAAAGACAGCCAUGAAUUCCUAGUGAGUGACUGAGCCUUGAGUGUGUGUCCUUUGAUAUUUUGCCUGUAUUGCACAGUCUGCCCUCAAACUGUUCAUAAUCUCAUGAGCUGCCUGUAUUUCCAGUUGAAGAUGAGCAGCCGUCAACACUAUCACCAAAAAAAAAGCAACGGAAUGGAGGCAUGCGGAACUCACCCAACUCCUCGCCUAAGCUGAUGAGGCAUGACCCCUUGUUAAUUCCUGGCAAUGAUCAGAUUGACAACAUGGACUCCAAUGUGAAGAAGUACGACUCUACUGGGAUGUUUCACUGGUGUGCAGCCAAGGAGAUAGAGAAAGUCAUCCUGACUCGAAGUGAAGCUGCUAUGACCGUCCUGAGUGGCCAUGUCGUGGUCUGCAUCUUUGGCGAUGUCAGCUCAGCCCUGAUCGGCCUCCGGAACCUGGUGAUGCCGCUCCGUGCCAGCAACUUUCAUUACCACGAGCUCAAGCACAUUGUGUUUGUGGGCUCUAUUGAGUACCUCAAGCGGGAAUGGGAGACACUUCAUAACUUCCCCAAAGUGUCCAUAUUGCCUGGUACGCCAUUAAGUCGGGCUGAUUUAAGGGCUGUCAACAUCAACCUCUGUGACAUGUGCGUUAUCCUGUCAGCCAAUCAGAAUAAUAUUGAUGAUACUUCGCUGCAGGACAAGGAAUGCAUCUUGGCGUCACUCAACAUCAAAUCUAUGCAGUUUGAUGACAGCAUCGGGGUCUUGCAGGCUAAUUCCCAAGGGUUCACACCUCCAGGAAUGGAUAGAUCCUCUCCAGAUAACAGCCCAGUGCAUGGGAUGUUACGUCAACCAUCCAUCACAACUGGGGUCAACAUCCCCAUCAUCACUGAACUAGCUAAACCGGGCAAGUUGCCUUUGGUAUCAGUCAAUCAGGAAAAAAACAGUGGGACGCACAUUCUAAUGAUAACUGAACUGGUGAACGAUACUAAUGUUCAGUUUUUGGACCAAGACGAUGAUGAUGACCCUGAUACAGAACUGUACCUCACGCAGCCCUUUGCCUGUGGGACAGCGUUUGCCGUCAGUGUCCUGGACUCACUCAUGAGUGCGACAUACUUCAAUGACAAUAUCCUCACCCUGAUACGGACCCUGGUGACCGGAGGAGCCACGCCGGAGCUGGAGGCUCUGAUUGCUGAGGAGAAUGCCCUUAGAGGUGGCUACAGCACCCCGCAGACACUGGCCAAUAGGGACCGCUGCCGCGUGGCCCAGUUAGCUCUGCUCGAUGGGCCAUUUGCGGACUUAGGGGAUGGUGGUUGUUAUGGUGAUCUGUUCUGCAAAGCUCUGAAAACAUACAAUAUGCUUUGUUUUGGAAUUUACCGGCUGAGAGAUGCUCACCUCAGCACCCCAAGUCAGUGCACAAAGAGGUAUGUCAUCACCAAUCCCCCCUACGAGUUUGAGCUCGUGCCGACGGACCUGAUCUUCUGCUUAAUGCAGUUUGACCACAACGCCGGCCAGUCCCGGGCCAGCC